rnacentral:rRNA from 1 species
UGGCGGACGGGUGAGUAACGCGUGGGGAACCUGCCCUGUACAGGGGGAUAACACUUAGAAAUAGGUGCUAAUACCGCAUAAGCGCACAGUAUCGCAUGAUACAGUGUGAAAAACUCCGGUGGUACAGGAUGGACCCGCGUCUGAUUAGCUGGUUGGCGGGGUAACGGCCCACCAAGGCGACGAUCAGUAGCCGGCCUGAGAGGGUGAACGGCCACAUUGGGACUGAGACGCGGCCCAAACUCCUACGGAAGGCAGCAG